GACAGAGGGUGCAAACGUUGCUCGGAAUCACUGGGCGUAAAGGGCGUGUAGGCGGGAAGGAAAGUCAGAUGUGAAAUCCCUGGGCUCAACCCAGGAACUGCAUUUGAAACUCCCUUUCUUGAGUGUCGGAGAGGAAAGUGGAAUUCCUGGUGUAGAGGUGAAAUUCGUAGAUAUCAGGAGGAACACCGGUGGCGAAGGCGGCCCCCUGGACCGGUACUGACGCUGAGGAGCGAAAGCCAGGGGAGCAAACGGG
rnacentral:rRNA from 1 species